UGCCUUAUAGCUCAAUGGUUAGAGUAUCUGUCCGGUUAUCAGAAGGUUACGUGGUUCAAUUCCCGUUGGGGCUC
rnacentral:tRNA from 1 species